GGAAAAAUGCGGGAAAUUUCGUGUCAAGUUUCGGGACGAAACUUCUUUUAAGAGGGGUAGAUUGUAAUCCCCCGUAAAUUUAUAAAUUUUAUUAAAUAUAUUUUAACGUAUAUUAUUUAUAAUUAAAUAGAAUUUAUGAAGUUUAGUAAUAAAUAUAUAUUUAACGUAAUUUAUUUUUAUACGUUCUAAAUAUUUCAACGAUUUAUGAAAUCAAAAAAAUAAUUUUAGAAUUUUAUGUUGAAAAGAAUUUGAAUUGCGAAAACACGUUCGAUUGAAUUUGGAAAACAAUAUUAACUGGUUUUGGAUUCAAACAAACUCAAUUCUAAUCCUAGCCCAAAUUGACAAAGCCCAAAACAAGAAAACCCAUAUUAUCAACCCAUAAUUCAACUUCACGUAAAAUCAAGAAAGCCAAAAACCCUCUUCUCUCCUCUCCUCCAAUUCACGUGAAAAGCAAGCAAACUCUCUCUCUGCUUCAGCCACCGCCGCCCUCCUUGCUGUUGUCCCUCACGCCGCCGGCCAACCACCUCAGACGCUCCUCCUCCGUCGCGUGCAACCUUCCUCGCCGCCACCUGCACCCCGUCGCUGCCGCCAACCAACCAGCACCGGUCGUUGGCCCCUUCCCUUCUCCUUCGCGAAGCAUCAACACUCCUCCUUUUCUUUCUCCUCUGCGUGCGUUUCCUCCUGCUUGCACCACCAGCCACCUUCGGUCACCCUGCUGCGCCACCACCCAUCGCCGCGCUGCCACUGUGGCAUCGCCGUGCUGCUGCACCAACCGCCGUCAGCUCUUCCUCCCUUCACUUUUUGGCGGAGAAUUCUCUUUAGGCGACUUUUGAAAGUGUUAAAGUGGCCUAUUAGUUGUUUAUGCAAGGUACGUACAUACCUGUGUGCUUGGAAUGUGUGCUAAUUGAUGAAACCAUGUUGAAUCUUGUUGUUGAACUUGGUUAUGUUGAUAUUAUUGUUGAACUUGGUGAUGUUGAUAUUAUGGACGAACUGGGUUAUAUUGAAUGUGCAUGUUUAAUACUGUUGGACAAACUUAUUGAACUUAUUUUGCACUAUAAGAACUGUAACAUGUUAGUAUGGAUGUUUGAUACAAACAUGUUGGUUGGGAACACUAGAUUAUUCUAUAUGAUUGGGUUGGAUCAAUUGGUUGUUGUUCCCUUUCUAUCUUUUCACUACUUUAUAAGGGCGGAGGACCUUGUUUAGUAAGUUGAA